rnacentral:rRNA from 1 species
UACAGAGGGUGCAAGCGUUAAUCGGAAUUACUGGGCGUAAAGCGUGCGUAGUCGGUUGUUUAAGUCGGAUGUGAAAUCCCCGGGCUCAACCUGGGAAUUGCAUUCGAUUCUGGGCAGCUAGAGUUCGGCAGAGGGAAGCGGAAUUUCCGGUGUAGCGGUGAAAUGCGUAGAUAUCGGAAGGAACAUCAGUGGCGAAAGCGGCUUCCUGGACCAGAACUGACGAUCAGGCACGAAAGCGUGGGGAGCAAACAGG